UACGUAGGGUGCGAGCGUUAAUCGGAAUUACUGGGCGUAAAGCGUGCGCAGGCGGUUUUGUAAGCCAGAUGUGAAAUCCCCGGGCUCAACCUGGGAAUGGCAUUUGGGACUGCAAGGCUGGAGUGUGGCAGAGGAGACUGGAAUUCCUGGUGUAGCAGUGAAAUGCGUAGAUAUCAGGAGGAAUACCGAUGGCGAGGGCAGGUCUCUGGGCUGACACUGACGCUCAUGCACGAAAGCGUGGGGAGCAAACAGG
rnacentral:rRNA from 1 species